rnacentral:rRNA from 1 species
GAUGAACGCUGGCGGCGUGCCUAAUACAUGCAAGUCGAGCGGACCAAAGAGAGCUUGCUCUCUGAGGUUAGCGGCGGACGGGUGAGUAACACGUGGGUAACCUGCCUGUAAGACGGGGAUAACUUCGGGAAACCGAAGCUAAUACCGGAUGAUAAAGAGAAACGCCUGUUUCUUUUUUGAAAGUCGGCCUUGUGCUGACGCUUACAGAUGGGCCCGCGGCGCAUUAGCUAGUUGGUGAGGUAACGGCUCACCAAGGCGACGAUGCGUAGCCGACCUGAGAGGGUGAUCGGCCACACUGGGACUGAGACACGGCCCAGACUCCUACGGGAGGCAGCAGUAGGGAAUCUUCGGCAAUGGACGAAAGUCUGACCGAGCAACGCCGCGUGAGCGAUGAAGGCCUUCGGGUCGUAAAGCUCUGUUGUCAGAGAAGAACAAGUACCGGAGUAACUGCCGGUACCUUGACGGUACCUGACCAGAAAGCCACGGCUAACUACGUGCCAGCCGCCGCGGUAAAAC